UACAGAGGGUGCGAGCGUUAAUCGGAAUUACUGGGCGUAAAGCGCGCGUAGGCGGCUUUGCAAGUCGGGUGUGAAAUCCCCAGGCUUAACCUGGGAACUGCAUUCGAGACUGCAUUGCUAGAGUAUGGGAGAGGGAAGUGGAAUUUCCGGUGUAGCGGUGAAAUGCGUAGAUAUCGGAAGGAACAUCAGUGGCGAAAGCGACUCCUGGACCAAUACUGACGCUCAUGUGCCGAAAGCGUGGGGAGCAAACAGG
rnacentral:rRNA from 1 species